rnacentral:rRNA from 1 species
UACGGGGGGGGCAAGCGUUACUCUACGUUACUGGGUGUAAAGAGUGCUAAGGUGGUUUUGUAAGUUUUUAAUGAAAUCUUAAAAUUUAAUUUUAAAAGUGUUAAAAAAUACUGCAAAACUUUGAGUAUAUUGGGAGAUUGUUGUAUGCUUAGUGAAGGGUUAAAAUCCAUUGAUAUUAAGAAGACAUUCAAUAGGUGAAAACUACAAUCUAUGAUAUUACUGACACUGAUGUACAAAAGCGUGAGGAGCAAACAGG